rnacentral:rRNA from 1 species
UACAGCAGCCAUAUCACCCUGACACUCACAACUGGCAUUCCACUGAAGCUAAGCAGGUGUGAGUCUGGCCAGUACCUGGAUGGGAGACAGUACCUCCUGGGAAAAACUAAGGUUGCUGCUGGAA